rnacentral:rRNA from 1 species
CGGAGGAUCCAAGCGUUAUCCGGAAUCAUUGGGUUUAAAGGGUCCGUAGGCGGUUUAGUAAGUCAGUGGUGAAAGCCCAUCGCUCAACGGUGGAACGGCCAUUGAUACUGCUAGACUUGAAUUAUUAGGAAGUAACUAGAAUAUGUAGUGUAGCGGUGAAAUGCUUAGAGAUUACAUGGAAUACCAAUUGCGAAGGCAGGUUACUACUAAUGGAUUGACGCUGAUGGACGAAAGCGUGGGUAGCGAACAGGAUUAGAUACCCUGGUAGUCCACGCCGUAACCAAUGGAUACUAGCUGUUGGGAGCGAUCUCAGUGGCUAAGCGAAAGUGAUAAGUAUCCCACCUGGGGAGUACGUUCGCAAGAAUG